rnacentral:misc_RNA from 1 species
UAGAACCCCUGAUGCCAG